rnacentral:rRNA from 1 species
AUUGAACGCUGGCGGCAUGCCUUACACAUGCAAGUCGAACGGCAGCGCGGGAGCAAUCCUGGCGGCGAGUGGCGAACGGGUGAGUAAUAUAUCGGAACGUGCCCAGUAGUGGGGGAUAGCCCGGCGAAAGCCGGAUUAAUACCGCAUACGACCUACGGGUGAAAGGGGGGGAUCGCAAGACCUCUCGCUAUUGGAGCGGCCGAUAUCAGAUUAGGUAGUUGGUGGGGUAAAGGCCCACCAAGCCUGCGAUCUGUAGUUGGUCUGAGAGGACGACCAGCCACACUGGGACUGAGACACGACCCAGACUCCUACGGGAGGCAGCAGUGGGGAAUUUUGGACAAUGGGCGCAAGCCUGAUCCAGCAAUGCCGCGUGCAGGAAGAAGGCCUUCGGGUUGUAAACUGCUUUUGUCAGGGAAGAAAUCCUCUAGGCUAAUACCUUGGGGGGAUGACGGUACCUGAAGAAUAAGCACCGGCUAACUACGUGCCAGCCGCCGCAGUAAGAC